GAUUUAGUGGCGCACGGGUGCGUAACACGUGGGAAUAUACCCUUGACUACGGAAUAAGGGCAGGAAACGGACACUAAUACCGUAUAAUGACUCCGGUCCAAAGAUUUAUCGGUCAAGGAUUAGCCCGCGCCUGAUUAGGUAGUUGGUGAGGUAAUGGCUCACCAAGCCGACGAUCAGUAGGGGGUCUGAGAGGAUGAUCCCCCACACUGGAACUGAGACACGGUCCAGACUCCUACGGGAGGCAGCAGUGAGGAAUAUUGGACAAUGGGGGCAACCCUGAUCCAGCCAUGCCGCGUGAGUGAAGAAGGCCUUAGGGUUGUAAAGCUCUUUCAAUUGUGAAGAUAAUGACGGUAGCAAUAGAAGAAGCUCCGGCUAAAUUCGUGCCAGCAGCCGCGGUAAUACGAAUGGAGCAAGCGUUGUUCGGAAUCACUGGGCUUAAAGCGUGCGUAGGCGGAACUGAAAGUCAGAUGUGAAAGCCCGGGGCUCAACCCCGGAACUGCAUUUGAAACUCCAGUUCUAGAAUCCGGGAGGGGUUAGUGGAAUUCCUAGUGUAGAGGUGAAAUUCGCAGAUAUUAGGAGGAACACCAGUGGCGAAGGCGACUAACUGGACCGGUAUUGACGCUGAGGUACGAAAGCGUGGGGAGCAAACAGGAUUAGAUACCCUGGUAGUCCACGCCGUAAACGAUGUGUGCUAGUUGUCAGGCCUUAGGGUUUGGCGACGCAGAGAAAUCAUUAAGCACACCGCCUGGGGAGUACGGUCGCAAGAUUAAAACUCAAAGGAAUUGACGGGGACCCGCACAAGCGGUGGAGCAUGUUCCUUAAUUCGAAGCAACGCGAAGAACCUUACCUACACUUGACAUCCUUCU
rnacentral:rRNA from 1 species